rnacentral:rRNA from 1 species
AAUUUUUUACAAUGGGGGAAACCCUGAUCCAGCCAUCCCGCGUGUAUGAUGAAGGNCUNNGGGUUNUNAAGUACUUUUGGCAGNNNNNAAAAGGCAUCCAUUAAUACGGGAUGCUGCUGACGGUAUCUGCAGAAUAAGCACCGGAUAACGACGUGCCAGCAUCCGAGGUAAUACGUAGGGUGCAAGCGUUAAUCGGAAUCACUGGGCGUAAAGCGUGUGUAGGCGGUUCGGCAAGACAGAUGUGAAAUCCCAGGGCUCAACCUUGGAACUGCAUUUUUAACUGCCGAGCUAGAGUAUGUCAGAGGGGGGUAGAAUUCCACGUGUAGCAGUGAAAUGCGUAGAUAUGUGGAGGAAUGCCGAUGGCGAAGGCAGCCCCCUGGCAUAAUACUGACGCUCAGACACGAAAGCGUGGGGAGCAAACAGG